CCUUCUGAAACAGAUUGGAACUCUUCACCGCCAUCCAUAGUUAACAUUAACAAUCCAGACAUAUUCAAGGCUCAUACUGUGCAUGUACAAAUGUACACUGUAGCUUGUGUGCAACAACAUUUUCAAUGAUAUUAUUUCAUUGUUCAUGCCCAACCCAGUUUGUCCAGGUGUAUUGCCUGUUAAACCUUAUUAUUUUCCAGUUUCAGUUUUUUUGUAAUACAAUUUAAUUUCUUUUAAUUGUAGGAAAGAUCAUGAUGUGUAACAUUUCUUUUGAAAUGCUUUUGUCGAAAUUGCUUAAUGCAUUACCCAACAGGUUCAUGUAGGCAAUGGGUUCAACUUCAUAAGUUGACAUGAUCUUCUUGCAGCAAUGCACAAGCACCGGACUUAGAAAGCUAUACAAUUCAGGGAUGAAUUGAACAUUUGCGUAAUGGAUGGCUUCAGUAGUCAAGAAAUAUGCUUAAAAUGAUUGUUAAUGUUAAAAGAUCAUUGUUUUCAGAAUUUCAGAUAUGAUAGAUGUCAUAACAGGAAAUUGAGAUUUGAGAAGUAAUUUAAAACAAGAAAUUGAGAAGUUGUUGUUGUUGUUGUGUUUUGA